rnacentral:lncRNA from 1 species
GGGAAUAGCUCAACCCACCCAGCUCUACACUCCACAGUUGCAGCAUUGCUGCUCAGUUAUCAGAUAUUAUGGCAGAGUCACCAGAUACAGAUAUUGUGGCAGAGCCACCAGAACAGAUAAUGUGGCAAAGCCACUUAACAAAAUACGUGGCACAAAGCCAUCGAUAACUGCAUUAUGUUAGGCACAUAGCCAUCAACUAGAGUAACAUAAUCGGUACACAGCCC